AACGAACGCUGGCGGCAUGCCUAACACAUGCAAGUCGAACGAGACCUUCGGGGCUAGUGGCGCACGGGUGCGUAACGCGUGGGAACCUGCCCUUAGGUUCUGAAUAACUCCCCGAAAGGGGUGCUAAUACCGGAUAAUGUCUUCGGACCAAAGAUUUAUUGCCUUUGGAUGUGCCCGCGUUGGAUUAGCUUGUUGGUAGGGUAAAAGCCUACCAAGGCGACGAUUCAUAGCUGGUCUGAGAGGAUGAUCAGCCACACUGGGACUGAGACACGGCCCAGACUCUUACGGGAGGAAGCAGUGGGGAAGAGUGGACAAUGGGCGAAAGCCUGAUCCAGCAAUGCCGCGUGAGUGAUGAAGGCAUUAGGGUUGUAAAGCUCUUUUACCCGGGAUGAUAAUGACAGUACCGGGAGAAUAAGCUCCGGCUAACUCCGUG
rnacentral:rRNA from 1 species